rnacentral:rRNA from 1 species
ACCCCAGGUCAGGUGGGGCUACCCGCUGAGUUUAAGCUUAUCAAGAACCGGAGGAAAAG